GUGACCUCGGAUCGGUAGGUAUUCACGUAUUG
rnacentral:rRNA from 1 species